rnacentral:rRNA from 1 species
GUGGGGAAUCUUCCACAAUGGACGAAAGUCUGAUGGAGCAACGCCGCGUGAGUGAAGAAGGGUUUCGGCUCGUAAAGCUCUGUUGUCGGGGACGAAUGUGCAGUAUUUGAAUAAAGUACUGUAAUGACGGUACCUGACGAGGAAGCCACGGCUAACUACGUGCCAGCAGCCGCGGUAAUACGUAGGUGGCAAGCGGUGUCCGGAAUUAUUGGGCGUAAAGGGAGCGCAGGCGGGAAGGUAAGUCGGUCUUAAAAGUGCGGGGCUCAACCCCGUGAUGGGAUCGAAACUAUCUUUCUUGAGUGCAGGAGAGGAAAGUGGAAGUCCUAGUGUAGCGGUGAAAUGCGUAGAUAUUAGGAGGAACACCAGUGGCGAAGGCGACUUUCUGGACUGUAACUGACGCUGAGGCUCGAAAGCCAGGGGAGCGAACGGGAUUAGAAACCCCGGUAGUCC